UGCUGUCCCACAGUCCCAGUUCCAUUUCAGUGUCCCCAUUUUCCCCAUUCCAUGCCCAGCAUUCCCAGUGCUGUCCCACGGUCCCAGUUCCAUUUCAGUGUCCCCAACACUGUCCCCAUUUUCCCCAUUCCACGCCCAGUGUUCCCAGUGCUGUCCCACAGUCCCAGUUCCAUCUCAGUGUCCCCAUUUUCCCCAUUCCUGCCCAGCGUUCCCAGUGUUCCCAGUGCUGUCCCACGGUCCCAGUUCCAUUUCAGUGUCCCCAUUUUCCCCAUUCCAUGCCCAGCGUUCCCAGUGUCCCAGUUCCAUUUCAGUGUCCCCAUUUUCCCCAUUCCAUGCCCAGCGUUCCCAGUGUCCCAGUUCCAUUCCAGUGUCCCCAUUUUCCCCAUUCCACGCCCAGCAUUCCCAGUGUCCCAGUUCCAUUUCAGUGUCCCCAUUUUCCCAUUCCAUGCCCAGCGUUCCCAGUGUCCCUGCUGUCCCACAGUCCCAGUUCCAUUUCAGUGUCCCCAACCCUGUCCCCAUUUUCCCCAUUGCAUCCCAGUGUUCCCAGUGUCCCAGUUCCAUUUCAGUGUCCCCAUUUUCCCCAUUCCACGCCCAGCGUUCCCAGUGCUGUCCCACGGUCCCAGUUCCAUUUCAGUGUCCCCAUUUUCCCCAUUCCACACCCAGCGUUCCCAGUGUCCCAGUUCCAUUUCAGUGUCCCCAUUUUCCCCAUUCCUGCCCAGCGUUCCCAGUGUCCCUGCUGUCCCACAGUCCCAGUUCCAUUCCAGUGUCCCCAUUUUCCCCAUUCCAUGCCCAGUGUCCCUGCUGCCCCAGUGUCCCAGUUCCAUUUCAGUGUCCCCACACCCCUGUCCCCAUUUUCCCCAUUCCACACCCAGCGUUCCCAGUGUCUGUGCUGUCCCAGUGUCCCAGUUCCAUUCCAGUGUCCCCAUCGCUGUCCCCAUUUUCCCCAAUCCACACCCAGUGUUCCCAGUGCUGUCCCACGGUCCCAGUUCCAUCUCAGUGUCCCCAUUUUCCCCAUUCCCGCCCAGCAUUCCCAGUAUUCCCAGUGCUGUCCCACAGUCCCAGUUCCAUUUCAGUGUCCCCAUUUUCCCCAUUCCUGCCCAGCGUUCCCAGUGUCCCUGCUGUCCCACAGUCCCAGUUCNNNNNNNNNNNNNNNNNNNNNNNN
rnacentral:lncRNA from 1 species